rnacentral:ncRNA from 1 species
UUUGAAGCUGUGAUGGGAAACAACUGUAGUUCUUCUAUCCCUGUUCGUAGAGAGUCAGCGGUGGUGUAAGCUGAUACAUAUAGAAGAAUGAAUUACCUCCUUGAGCUUUUUCUGUGAAACCAAUGGUGAGUAGCGGAAAACGGUCAAAACCGUUAAUUUUUUUAAGUUGGAGGAGUUUUUUCCUCAAGCUGGGUGGUACCGCGUAUUUUACGUCCCUGCA